UUCAUUUGUUCCUCUGUUCUCUCUUUCAGCUUUCUCCUUUGGUUUUCAAAAUUCAUUUGUUCCUCUUCACAACAGAAAGUUAUUGGAGUUGGUUGAGUACAUAAAGAAUUGUUGACGUCGAAAUUCUUCAACAAAUCAGGUGUUGAAAAUUAAAAGAUUGCAAUCGUGAUAGAGUUCGAGGGGUGAAAGAUAGAAAUUGAAAAUUUUGAUAGUUAUGCCUACAUGAUAGGGAUUGAAAGAUUGUAGGCAUCUUAGUGUCAACGUAAUAUUUUACCUUCGUAAAGUGGUAAAAUAUGGACAAGAGUUGGUUGACAAUACCCCGAAAUUUUGAAGCGUAUACAACUGGAAUUAAUUUGUUUUUGGAUCAAGCAGUUGCAAAUGGUGUUGGUCCUGAUAAGUUUAGAUGUCCUUGCAAAAGAUGUUGUAAUCGAUAUUCUUUUGUUAGGAACACCAUUGUUGAACAUCUCAUAUUGUAUGAUAUGGAUAAAGAUUAUAAAAACGCUUGUUGGCGACAUCAUGGCGAGCAAAACAUUGGAGAGCAAAAUGUGGGAAUUGGAGAAGAAGAAACAGGAGAUGAGGUGAUUGGCAUGCAUGAUUUUCUUAAUGAUGUAUUUGUCCAACCAUUAACAGAAGAAGGUGUUGGGCCAUCUACUGAACCCCCUAUUGGGGAAGGGCGUCCAGAAGAGGUGCAGACUUUUUUUAAGUUGCUUGAAGAGGCAGAUCAAGAUUUGUGGCCAGGUUGUAAGGAGUUUAAGAAAUUGGAAGCAGUUGUAAGAUUGUAUCAGAUCAAGUGUUUAGCGGGAAUGCCUGACGAGAUCUUCACCACUUUACUGGAGUUAAUUAAAAGAAUGUUGCC